GCUCCGGCCCCCGGGCUGGAGCGCUACCUGUGAGAACUUUUCCCUUGGCCGGGAGCACCUGGGCGCCCCUCUCCCCCAGAACAGGAAGGAGCGCGGCCUCGGCACUGCGGACUUCGACUUCGGGGCCCACUUCUGAGUAUCCCCAUCUUGGCCUCCUGAACUGAGCACACCUGACCCCCAUCUCGCCCUCGAACUGAAGCGUCCCUUCCAAUUUACACACUGGCUGCCCUUUGCCAGGCCCUGAGGACAGUUGUCCUGUAUCUCGGAGACAGCCAGCACUAAGAGCCCCUGGGGUGUCACUGAACCUUUGUGUCUGCCCUGCCUCCUGGAAAGCAUAGGACUUACCAAGGAGAUCGAACUCAGGACCUUGUGCUUGCAAUGCAGGCAACGGAACCACUGAGCUAAAUCCCCGGCUCUCCCUUAGUAUUUGUUAACCUGAUAUCGCCAUUACUUUCCAUUCCCACUCAAAUUACUAACUUUUGGUUAAGUUAAUUUUUAGCUUUUACACUAGUAUUACUGUACAAAUACUGUUCUCUGACAAGCUACCAGUACAUUAUAACAACUCCUUUUCUUGUGUAUGACUUUUCAUUUUUCCUAGAGUCAAUAGUACCAUUUUUUCAUUUGCUCAGCUUCCUUUGUAUCCACCGCUAAAUCUUCCCAUACCUUCCAGUGGCACUGUGGUAAACUUUUUUUUGUGAAGUCAAACAUCAAAAAAAUCCAUCAUUGCUUUUGGUGGUUGUGUUUUGCCAUCCUGGGAGCAUCUCCCAGAUUACUCCAUCGUCUAGCUCCAACUUGGACUGAUGGCUUUCCGUGUCUGCUGUACAGAUGUGGACCUGGAAUGUCCCUUCAUAGUUAUCUAUCCUGGGAAUUUCCACUAUCUCUGUGCUGUGUUGAAUCUUUUGCUUCCUGGAUUCUAUAUUUUUCUUUUUCUUGGUUUAUUCCCCUGUUCCAGUAGAGGUAAUUUGUUUUGGAAACUUUCUUUGUUUGAAAUUAAGAUGUUUUAACAUGAGAAGUUAAGCAUGCACUUUGACAAUUAAAUAUUUGAGUUGAAGCUGUGUUUCUGUAGACUUUAUGAGUGUGUGGGUGGGGAGGGUAUAUGGGAAUUGGAGAAUGGGAGGUUUUUCUCAGUUACCUCCAGGGAAGCCAGGAAGGUGUUACGGUGUGUUUGGGUGGAAGGGUGAAGGCAGGGAGUCUGCUGAGAGUGCCUUAUAAGAGAGUUGACAGGAGAAUCCCUGGACGGGCUGCAUCCAGACUUAGAUGGACUUGGAGCAUGAGAAGAGUGGCUUUAGGCCCAGGGCUGAUGUUACA